AUUCUCUCUAAGGGUUGUCUCAUCAGAUAAAAAAAUCUGUUCCCAUCAGCUUAAUAUUUGUUGUGUCUUGCAUCAUAGGUCUAGAAUAUUAAACUCAUUUUUGGCUCAUGACGGAGAGCUAAGAGCAUGCUGUACCUCCGACACACGAUGCCUCAUCACUUUCCAUGUCCCUUGAGGUAGACAGAUGCCUC